rnacentral:rRNA from 1 species
AACGAACGCUGGCGGCAUGCCUAACACAUGCAAGUCGAACGAGACCUUCGGGUCUAGUGGCGCACGGGUGCGUAACGCGUGGGAACCUGCCCUUAGGUUCGGAAUAACUCCCCGAAAGGGGUGCUAAUACCGGAUAAUGUCUUCGGACCAAAGAUUUAUCGCCUUUGGAUGGGCCCGCGUUGGAUUAGCUAGUUGGUAGGGUAAAGGCCUACCAAGGCGACGAUCCAUAGCUGGUCUGAGAGGAUGAUCAGCCACACUGGGACUGAGACACGGCCCAGACUCCUACGGGAGGCAGCAGUGGGGAAUAUUGGACAAUGGGCGAAAGCCUGAUACAGCAAUGCCGCGUGAGUGAUGAAGGCCUUAGGGUUGUAAAGCUCUUUUACCCGGGAUGGUAAUGACAGUACCGGGAGAAUAAGCUCCGGCUAACUCCGUG